UCAAGCAGCAGAGGACAGCCGGUCGCUACCGAAGCCGUGGCGCAUCUAAGCUGCCCCACGCCAGCCGCCGCCGCCUAAUCCCUAGGCCCCGCCCUGCGCCCGCGGCCCCGCCCCCGGCCCGCUUCGCUAUUGGCCAUCCGCUACCGCCAGCCUCUCCCGAUUGGCUAGUGGAUUCAAUGGUUCCCUCAGGAUCUUUCCCCCGCGUUUUGUUGCAGACCACAAUGCACCGCGCACAGCGUCGGUUGCCCGGGCGAUGCGCGGCACGCGUGCGGAGGCCCACACACCCUGAAGGCGGAGCCCCGGGUAGAGUGGCUGGCUCCCGGACCACCCAGCAGUCUGGAAGGAGCCCCUGUGUAGCUGGUACUGCCCUAGGAGACCGUAUACAUACUGAUAGCCUAAUGAUUGAAGGAGAAAUUCGGGAAAGGGAUCGCGUAUCCAGGAGGUAGAGCCUGUCUGCCAGGCAGUGGGGACCUCAAGAUCUGGAAUGUGGGUGGAUGCCCAGUGUGUACAGGUGAGGCUGCUUCCUCCGAUAGAAUGUCCAUUUGGGCAAAGUUUCUUGGCUGAGGGUUUAUUUAUACAAAGGAAGACGUAUCUUAAGAAAGUGAUCCUAAGAUGUGUCUCCUCUGGCAUUUAUGACCAAUCGUACCCACAUAAUAAAUUAAAUAAAUAAAUAAAAAUAACA
rnacentral:lncRNA from 1 species